rnacentral:lncRNA from 1 species
GUCUAUUAGACCAGAAUAGUCCUCAUUUGCUGGCUUUAAUUUAUUGUCAAUCAUUAUGUUGUUAAAAAAAGUUAUACAUAUCCGACGCUGUCUCAUGUAGACGAUGAAGUUGAUAAGGAUCCCUUCCCUGAAUUGUUCAAAUAGUUCCUUUUUUGUUGGUUUCUCUCUUUGAUAUACUUUAUUUUGGCUCUUUCUUUAUCCUCUCUUGAUUUGGGUUUAUACUCCUCGUCCUUGUCUUCUGGUGGAUUAUCUACUAUAUCAGGGAGUUCAUCGUGUCAUUAAAUGGCAAGUCGUACAAAAAAAUCUAUAUGCUUAUAUACUUAGCUUAGCUGUGUCAUUUUUAAAUAUUUCGAUUGGAAAUCCAAUCGGUAUCUGAGAAUCUAU